rnacentral:tRNA from 1 species
GCCGGGAUGGCGGAAUGGUAGACGCAGUGGACUCAAAAUCCACCGGUAGCGAUACCGUGCGAGUUCGAGUCUCGCUCCCGGCACCA